AGCAGCCGCGGUAAUUCCAGCUCCAAUAGCGUAUAUUAAAGUUGUUGCAGUUAAAAAGCUCGUAGUUGAAUUUCGGAGUUUGUCGGUUGGUCGGGCUUCACUGUCCGCACUGGCCUGAUGGAUUCCUACCUUCUGAAUAACCAGCAUGCUAUUAAGUUAGUGCGUUGGGGAAGCAGAGCUAUUACCUUGAAAAAUUAGAGUGCUUAAAGCAGGCUUAUGCUUGAAUAGAUUAGCAUGGAAUAAUAAAAUAGGAUGGCAUGGUUCUAUUUUGUUGGUUUCUAGGAUCACCGUAAUGAUUAAUAGGGAUAGUUGGGGGCAUUAGUAUUCAAUUGUCAGAGGUGAAAUUCUUGGAUUUAUUGAAGACUAACUUCUGCGAAAGCAUUUGCCAAGGAUGUUUUCAUUAAUCAAGAACGAAAGUUAGGGGAUCGAAGACGAUCAGAUACCGUCGUA
rnacentral:rRNA from 1 species